rnacentral:piRNA from 1 species
UGGCCCUACAAGCAAGCACCCACUUUUC